rnacentral:rRNA from 1 species
UUAUUGGGUCUAAAACAUCCGUAGCUUGCUUGGCAAGUUUCUUGUGAAAUCUUAUGUCUCAAGCAUAGGGCGCGCAAGAAGUACUACUAAGCUAGAGACCGGGAGAAGUAAGGAGUACGUUCAGAGUAGCGGUAAAAUGUGUUAAUCCUGAACGGACUAACAAUAGCGAAGGCACCUUACUAGAACGGUUCUGACAGUAAGGGAUGAAGGCUAGGGGCGCAAAACGGAUUAGAUACCCGUGUAGUCCUAGCAGUGAACACUGCACACUAAACCUUGUGAUCUCCUCGAGAGAUUGCAGGGCUGCAGGGAAGCCGAAGAGUGUGCUACCUGGGAAGUAUAGUCGCAAGGCCGAAACUUAAAGGAAUUGGCGGGGAGACACUACAACGGGUGACGCGUGCGGUUCAAUUAGAUUCCACACCGUGAACCUCACCAGGAGCGACAGCAGGAUGAAGGUCAGUCUAAAGGGCUUACCUGACACGCUGAGAGGGGAUGCAUGGCCGACGUCAGCCUGUGCCGUGAGGUGACCUGUUAAAUCAGGUAACAGGCAAGACCCUCAUCUCUAUUUACAUUUAUACUACAGAGAGAUUGCCAUUGUAAAAUGGAUGAAAGCGGGGGCUACGUUAGGUGAGUACAUCCCGAAUCCCCUGGGCAACACGCGCGCGUCAAUGGCAGAUACAAUGGGAUGCGACUCUGAAAAGAGAAGCCAAUCUCUUAAAGUUUGUCUCAGUCCAGAUUGAGGUUUGCAACUCAGCCUCAUGACG